AGCUCCAAUAGCGUAUGCUAACGUUGUUGCAGUUAAAAAGCUCGUAGUUGGAUUUUUAAGGGUGUCUGCACCUAGUGACCAUUUGUGUCUCUUAAGGCUGUAGACUCCCCUUAUUUUGCCUCAGAUCUCGUUUGGGAUUCAUUUCUCGAUCGAGUUUCCGGGGCGUGUUUACUUUGAGAAAAUUAGAGUGUUCAAAACAGUCUUGUGAUUGUAUAUCAUAGCAUGGAAUAAUAACUGAUGACGUCGGUCAUUUUUUGUUGGUUCGGAUGGCUGAAGUAAUGAUUGAUAGAGUUAGUCGGAGGUAUUAGUAUUUUAUCGUUAGAGGUGAAAUUCAUGGAUCGGUAAAAGACUAACAACUGCGAAAGCAUUUAUCUAGGAUUUGCUCU
rnacentral:rRNA from 1 species